rnacentral:pre_miRNA from 1 species
UGGGGUAGCGCUGGAUCCUGGGCUGUGUCCCCAGGUGCCCUGGGCUCCGGGGCCUGCGCUGCUGGAAUUGGGUUCCUGGUGCUGUGCAGGCCCCU